AAGUUUCAUUAACCUUACCCAUCAUGUAAGAAUGGGAUGGGCGAAAACGCACCCGCAUCCAACGGCCAAUCUAGGAUGCAGGCCAAAAAUUCCCAUCAGGCUCCAAGAGGCAACCAGCUAAUUUCAUUCUGACUUAAGGGUGGGUGGGAGGGAUUGCUUAAAAAAUGGCAAAGAGGCUGAGCCGGAGGAACCGUGCCUUAUUAAAGGCUCCAUCCCUCUUCUCCUCGGAAAGUGGCGUCAUUCAACCGGGAUGCCGCUCUCUGGGCAGGAGAGCAAACCUCCCCGCCAUAGUGACUCAGCACCAUGGCGGAGCAAUCAUGUAUUUAUUUGAGUCAUACACUUCCCCUUUAGUGGAAACACUACUCCAGGCAGUUUAGAAAUUAAAAUUCAGAAACCCACCCCACAUAACACUACAAUCAAUAUGGUGGUUCACCUAUUUAUAUCUAAUAUUUGUAUAAAAAAGAAAAAGGAAGCACAAGAAAAGUAAAGCAAAUUUAAUACCACCAGCAGCCAGGGAAAUGAAGUUAUUAGAGACAGUACAGUAUUGUAUAUUUCUAUCUUCACUCAUUUCCUGAAUAUCUAAGUGACCAGCCUAAGGAUGAUGAAGCCAAAUCCAGAUAGAUGAACCCCAUGGUUACAGGUCUCUAUGAACAGGCAGGGUUAUGAAGCUUCUGCAGGGAUCCUCUCUAGAUUUCAGUCUACCUGUGCCUAUGCUAAUGGUGCAAGAGUCAGUGUGAGAAACAUUUUCUUCUCUAAAUCUUCAUGUCUCCUCCUCUCCCUAGGUGUAUCGGUGACAUAUGCAAAUGUGAAUCAUCAACACAAUUACAAAUGGUUACCUGGAUCAUACCUGUGAUUGGGCUCAUUGGGGGAGUCAUUGGAUGUUGUGUCUUUGUAAGAGUUUUAAUUUGGUGCUGUCGUGCUUGCAAGGGAGGGGAAGAGACCAGACUCCCAGAAGAACCAAGAAGGGAUGUUCCCAGGCCACCUCCUGUUAACCAAACUGUGCCAUCUGCUCCAUCACUGAACCAGUUCAUGGAACCUCCUCCAUAUACAGAGGUUGGAUGGAAGCUUCCUUUAUACCCUCCUCCUAUGGACGAGCCACCUGCCUAUGAUAAUAUUGCCAUGGAAGGUCUUCCCCCUCUAGAUGUUUCCCGGCCCCCUGGAUUUAUGCCUGAAGACAGAACCUCAAGAACUUAACAUACAUGUUGCUAUUACCCAGAAAGACUGAGAAUAACAGGAAAAUUGUGUUGAUGAGUACAAGCUGGAUUUCGAAGGGGCAGAGGAACUAGAGACCAAAUCGCUAACAUGCGCUGGAUUAUGGAGAAAGCCAGAGAGUUCCAGAAAAACAUCUACUUCUGCUUCAUUGACUACACAAAGGCCUUUGACUGUGUGGACCACAGCAAACUAUGGCAUGUCCUUAAAGAAAUGGGAGUGCCUGACCACCUUAUCUAUCUCCUGAGAAACCUAUACGUGGGACAGGAAGCAACAGUUAGAACUGGAUAUGGAACAACUGAUUGGUUCAAAAUUGGCAAAGGAGCAUGACAAGACUGUAUAUUGUCUCCCAGUUUAUUUAACUUAUAUGCAGAAUACAUCAUGUGAAAGGCAGGACUGGAUGAAUUCCAAGCCGGAAUUAAGAUUGCCAGAAGAAAUAUCAACA
ensembl:lncRNA